UCCGCCUACCUAAUUUUCUGUCCUAUCAAGGGGCCAAGGCAGUCUCUUUAUUGACCAAUGAAAAUAACACAAUAGACAGAUAACCCUCCUCCAUCAUCUUCCCUUCAUUUAUAGUUUUUACAUCUGAUAAUUGGGAUUUUUCUUGGCACAGUCAAGGUUCAGGUACUUCUUCCUGCUUUUAUAUGGCAGUAUAUGGGCAGGUCUCAGCCCUGACCCCUAUUCUUCACCCUUGACUCCCACCCAUGGCCCUGUGGCCAGAAUCUCAGAACAGAAGCCUAUGGGAAGAAUUUGUGUCAACUUUGUGGAGUAAGAGGGCUUCAGUGACCUCAAGAGUGAGCUAGGUUAAAGGUAGGCCUUGCCAAGGGAGAGACUCUGUAGCCUUUUCCAGGCUCUUGAUGGGAUCCAGCCUGUGCCUCCUGUGUGCUCCCAAGAAAGCCAGCACCUUGUGACAGACUGUAGGACAUGGCAAAGAAGAAUGUCACAGCUUCAAAGGGAGGCAGAGAGGAAGGGUCCCUGGGAAUCCCUACCCUGAGGAUGCAGCCUGCAGGAUAAGGCACUCAUUCUUAGGGUGAAAAGGUAAACUCAUUACUGUUUCUACUCAGAGUAGAGUGGUGAGAAGGGGUCCUCGUAGGAAAGGUAAGCUAGGGGCUGUGGCAUCUAGAGAAUAAAUGGUUUCAUGGCCCCAGCCUCCCCUGGAACUGAAGUGCAUGGAGCUGAAGGAGCAAACCCUGAGAGGAAAAGCAUGGCUGGGGACUGCCCACACCUCUGCUGACCUGUGGCCUGUCCUGGAGCCUGAGGUGGUGGCGUCCACCCAUCCUCGCAGCUGUUUGAGCCCUCUGGCUCCAGCUUCUCUAUCACAUUUAACGUGGGCCACUGUGACUCUUAAACUUCCUUCAGAAAAAGAACAUUUGCAGUCCUGAGAAUACUCCUGAGACUGUUGCUAUAACCUGCCGGGGAGACCAGCCUCAAAGGGUUCUGAACACACCAGAACAAACAAGUGAUUCUGUUGAACGGCCCAGUGAGAGGAAGGUGACUGUCGGAGGACUGCAUUUAUGAUGGCAUCCAGAUGUGCUGGUACUGAGAAAAGAAGAUGACUAGAAGGAGCAGAAGGAAGCAGCUCUGCCCUCUGGAUGCUGUGCUUUAUUACAGUUGCCCAAUUUUACCUGUGGAUUGCUACGUAUGCUACCAACCUAAGCCCUUUAUCUAUGGCCCGCUCUCCCAGUCCCAGCAUCACCUAGUAAGGGGGUGUGACUCCUUCCCUCUGUUAACAACAGCUUGCUCAAGGACGAUCGGCAAGCCUGUGGGAGACCGAGGACCUGAAGCCAGGCUGCUGGCCCAGAAACAGCUCUUCAACUUUCUGUCUCCAGCCCUUGUUCAGAAGAAGCUCACUAUCAUCAGGGAACUUCCCUCCAGAAUACAGAUCAGGGGCAUCUCUUCUCUGUUGUAUCUGUGGUACAGGAAAAUCUUAUGGAUUCCCAGAUUGCAAAAAGGCAGACUUGGAAGUUGGAGAAAAGUACCAAGACCUGAAUUCUGGACUCCUCAAAGGAAUCGGCAACCCCGUGGCUAAACUGCAAAGGGAACCCAGUGUGGGCUGCUGCAGUCAUACAGGCCAUCUAUGGUGCCGUGUGGUCAAAUCCUUGGCUUGCUUCCUACUGGCUGUUUCACAGAGAACUGAAUCUAUUUAGAGAAAGUGAAAAUGUUACCCUAGAGUUGGUGCGCAUCCCAAGGAAGACUCAGUGCUGAUGUCCUUGUCCAGCCACCUCCUGACACAAUCCUCAGUAAUGUCUGGGGCAAAGUGACACUCUGCAGAUGACGAGACAUGAGGCCAAGAUUGGUGGAGGGAAAUGGAGUGGCGUUCCAUUGGUAUUUUAAUAAAUAAAGCUUGCCUGAAGAUCAGAAAAGUACAACAGCCACACUGGCCAGCCUUACAGACCAGGCAGUGAUGACAUACACCUUUAAUCCCAGUAGCCACAAUGAUACACAUCUUUAAUCCUAGUAGCCACACUAACUUGUCAUAGAAAACAGGUGGUAAUGGUGCGCACCCUUAAUCCCAGAAGUAGAGAAGAUCAUAAAACAGGAGGAGACAGAUCAUAGUCUCAGUCUCAUUAUUAUAAGAUUCUUGGAGGCAGGAUCACCAUUUUCAGACUGAGGUCGAGGUAAGCCAGUAGCUGACUGCUUUGCUUUUUGGAUCUUUAGGUCGAACCCCAGUUUCUGUGCAUUUUUAUUAAUCCUGCUUCAGGGAACACGGCAGUUCUACAGAAGUUUGUGGACUGUGGGCUCAUCACAUUGAAGAUCAGUGACCAACUGAUGCCAGAGGCCACCAGUGCUCCAGGCUUCUGCCUGCUUCUACUUCUUAGCCUGCUAGCCAGACCAUCUCACACAGCAUCCUGCCACCUGAGGUCCUUGACAUGUCCUGCUCUGCCUUUGCGGACUGGCCCCGCCAAGCAUGGAUUCUGUCCUAAUUUGCUUUCUAUUGCUGUAAUAAAACAUUUAGACCAAAA